rnacentral:rRNA from 1 species
UCAGAUCGAAGUUAAGGAAAACCCUGAUGGAGGAUCGAAACAAUUCUGACGUGAAAAUCGACCAAUUGAA